rnacentral:rRNA from 1 species
AAAAUAAAAGAAGGGCGCAUGGUGAAUGCCUUGGCUCUCAGAGGCGAAGAAGGACGUGACAAGCUGCGAUAAGCUGCGGGGAGGAGCAAAUAUCCGAUAUAUCCGCAGAUUUCCGAAUGGGGCAACCCGUUACGUUGAAGGCGUAACAUUCCGAGUGAUCGGGAGGCAAACCCGGGGAACUGAAACAUCUUAGUACCCGGAGGAAGAGAAAACAAAAGUGAUUCCCUGAGUAGUGGCGAUCGAAAGGGGAAAAGCCCAAACCAUAAUUGUUUCGGCAGUUAUGGGGUAGAAGGACCUCGACAGGGGCAAAUGAUAAGAAGCGGAAGUUUUCUGGAAAGGGGCACCGCAGGGGGUGAAAGUCCCGUACGCGUAGAUAUCAUUUGUUUCAGGGGUAUCCUGAGUAAGUCGGGACACGAGAAAUCCUGAUUGAAACAGCCAGGACCAUCUGGCAAGGCUAAAUACUACUGAGAGACCGAUAGUGGACCAGUACCGUGAGGGAAAGGUGAAAAGCACCCCGAACAGGGGAGUGAAAUAGUACCUGAAACCGUGCGCUUACAACCUGUCGGAGUCCCGAUACUUCGGGAUGACGGCGUGCCUUUUGCAUAAUGAGCCUACGAGUUACACUUUACUAGCGAGGUUAAGACUUAGAGAGUUGGAGCCGAAGCGAAAGCGAGUCUGAAAAGGGCGUAUAGUUAGUGGAGGUAGACGCGAAACUUUGUGAUCUAUCCUUGGUCAGGCUGAAGUUCCGGUAACACGGGAUGGAGGGCCGAACUAGUUGACGUUGAAAAGUCUUUGGAUGAACUGAGGAUAGGGGUGAAAGGCUAAUCAAACUGAGAAAUAGCUCGUACUCCCCGAAAUGCAUUUAGGUGCAGCCUCGGCGGUAGUCUUGCAGAGGUAGAGCUACUGAUAAGGCUAGAGGGCUUCACCGCCUAUCGAUCCUUGACAAACUCCGAAUGCUGCAAGAUGUUCCCCGGGAGUGAGCCUGCGGGUGCUAAGGUCCGUGGACAAAAGGGAAAGAACCCAGAUCAUCAGCUAAGGUCCCGAAAUAUAUGCUAAGUUGAAUUAAACGAGGUGCGACUGCUUAGACAGCUAGGAUGUUGGCUUGGAAGCAGCCAUUCAUUUAAAGAGUGCGUAACAGCUCACUAGUCGAGCGGUUGUGCGUGGAUAAUAAACGGGCAUAAGCAUAUUACCGAAGCUAUGGACUUCCGAGAAAUCGGGAUUGGUAGGGGAGCAUUCCAGUCGGCGUAGAAGACCUCGCGUAAGCGGGAUUGGAGCGUCUGGAAAAGAAGAUGUAGGCAUAAGUAACGAUAAUGGAGGCGAGAAACCUCCACACCGAAAGACUAAGGUUUCCUGAUCAACGCUAAUCGGAUCAGGGUUAGUCGGGGCCUAAGGGUAAGCCGGUAGGCGAUCCUGAUGGACAACUGGUUAAUAAUCCAGUACCACCGUAUACUGCGAAGGGGCGACGGAGGAGUGAAAGAUCCGCGUACUGACGGAAUAGUACGUUAAAGGGUGUAGUUAUACUUCAGGGUUAACAGCUUUGGAGUGAUGAACCUGAGAGUACCAUGAGCCUUCGGGCAAGUGGAUAGUGAUCCUAAUCAGACUUCCAAGAAAACCCUCUAAGCGUCAGGUAUAUGGUGCCCGUACCACAAACCGACACAGGUAGUCGAGGAGAGAAUCCUAAGGUGCUCGAGUGAUCCGUGGCUAAGGAACUAGGCAAAUUAGACCUGUAACUUCGGAAAAAAGGUCUCCUGACUAUAGACGUCAGGACGCAGAUAAAUAGCCCAGGCGACUGUUUAGCAAAAACACAUGGCUUUGCGAAAUCGAAAGAUGAUGUAUAAGGCCUGACACCUGCCCGGUGCCGGAAGGUUAAGAGGGGGGGUUAUUCCCAGCAAUGGGGAGAAGCUCUGAAUUGAAGCCCCGGUAAACGGCGGCCGUAACUAUAACGGUCCUAAGGUAGCGAAAUUCCUUGUCGGGU